rnacentral:rRNA from 1 species
CCCCUAAGUCGUGGGAUACCAUUUGGAAACAGGUGCUAAUACCGGAUAAUAAAGCAGAUCGCAUGAAUCAGCUUUUGAAAGGCGGCGUAAGCUGUCGCUAAGGGAUGGCCCCGCGGUGCAUUAGCUAGUUGGUAAGGUAACGGCUUACCAAGGCGACGAUGCAUAGCCAAGUUGAGAGACUGAUCGGCCACAUUGGGACUGAGACACGGCCCAAACUCCUACGGGAGGCAGCAGUAGGGAAUCUUCCACAAUGGACGCAAGUCUGAUGUAGCAACGCCGCGUGAGUGAAGAAGGUUUUCGGAUCGUAAAGCUCUGUUGUUGGUGAAGAAGGAUAGAGGUAGUAACUGGCCUUUAUUUGACGGUAAUCAACCAGAAAGUCACGGUUAACUACGUGCCAGCAGCCGCGGUAAUACGUAGGUGGCAAGCGUUGUCCGGAUUUAUUGGGCGUAAAGCGAGCGCAGGCGGAAAAAUAAGUCCUAAUGUGAAAGCCCCUCGGCUUAACCGAGGAACUGCAUCGGAAA